rnacentral:misc_RNA from 1 species
GUGCGAUAAGUAAUGUGAAUUGCAGAAUUCCGUGAAUCAUCGAAUCUUUGAACGCAAAUUGCACUCUCUUCGGAGAGUAUGCCUGUUUGAGGGUCAGUAUUAAUAAAAAUCGGCGUGUUGCUCUUUUGUGACGUUCCGGAGUUUGGGUCAUCUUAUAACAACAUCCUUUCAGGUGUUUUUAAGAGGCUUAAAAUUGACAUCAUCAUUGCGCAUUUUUUAGGACGUACAUAAUUAUUUUUUUUUAUUCGUCUAUCUUAAUGCCAAAUCUAUUAGACGCGACCAUAUCGUGUGGUUCCGUGUCUAUAAAUUUUUCAUGAUUUGACCUCAAAUCAGGUAAGAACACCCGCUGAACUUAA